AUGUACCGCUCGUCCACUCGGGUUCUGCGCGCGUCGUCCACACCCAGCUCACGACCGCUCGCUCCGUUCUCUUGGCC
rnacentral:sRNA from 1 species